GAGUUUGAUCCUGGCUCAGGACGAACGCUGGCGGCGUGCUCAACACAUGCAAGUCGAACGGAAAGGCCCCGCUCGCGGGGUACUCGAGUGGCGAACGGGUGAGUAACACGUGGGUGAUCUGCCCUGCACUUCGGGAUAAGCCUGGGAAACUGGGUCUAAUACCGGAUAUGACCUCCCUUUAGUGUGGGGGGUGGAAAGAUUUAUCGGUGCAGGAUGAGCCCGCGGCCUAUCAGCUUGUUGGUGGGGUAAUGGCCUACCAAGGCGUCGACGGGUAGCCGGCCUGAGAGGGUGGACGGCCACAUUGGGACUGAGAUACGGCCCAGACUCCUACGGGAGGCAGCAGUGGGGAAUAUUGCACAAUGGGCGGAAGCCUGAUGCAGCGACGCCGCGUGGGGGAUGACGGCCUUCGGGUUGUAAACCUCUUUCGACAGGGACGAAGUGAAAAUGACGGUACCUGUAUAAGAAGCACCGGCUAACUACGUGCCAGCAGCCGCGGUAAUACGUAGGGUGCGAGCGUUGUCCGGAAUUACUGGGCGUAAAGAGCUCGUAGGUGGUUUGUCACGUCGUCUGUGAAAUUCCGGGGCUUAACCUCGGGCGUGCAGGCGAUACGGGCAAUACUUGAGUGCUGUAGGGGAGACUGGAAUUCCUGGUGUAGCGGUGAAAUGCGCAGAUAUCAGGAGGAACAACAUGGCGAAGGCAGUCUCUGGGCAGUUACUGACGCUGAGGAGCGAAAGCAUGGGUAGCGAACAGGAUUAGAUACCCUGGUAGUCCAUGCCGUAAACGGUGGGCGCUAGGUGUAGGGGACUUCCACGUUCUCUGUGCCGUAGCUAACGCAUUAAGCGCCCCGCCUGGGGAGUACGGCCGCAAGGAUAAAACUCAAAGGAAUUGACGGGGGCCCGCACAAGCGGCGGAGCAUGUGGAUUAAUUCGAUGCAACGCGAAGAACCUUACCUGGGCUUGACAUACACCGGACCGGCGUAGAGAUACGUCUUCCCUUGUGGCCGGUGUACAGGUGGUGCAUGGUUGUCGUCAGCUCGUGUCGUGAGAUGUUGGGUUAAGUCCCGCAACGAGCGCAACCCUUGUCUUAUGCUGCCAGCACGUGAUGGUGGGGACUCAUGAGAGACUGCCGGGGUCAACUCGGAGGAAGGUGGGGAUGACGUCAAAUCAUCAUGCCCCUUAUGUCCAGGGCUUCACACAUGCUACAAUGGUCGGUACAGCAGGUCGCGAACUCGUGAGAGUAAGCCAAUCCUUCAAAGCCGGCCUCAGUUCGGAUUGGGGUCUGCAACUCGACCCCAUGAAGUCGGAGUCGCUAGUAAUCGCAGAUCAGCAACGCUGCGGUGAAUACGUUCCCGGGACCCUUGUACACACCGCCCGU
rnacentral:rRNA from 1 species